CCCCUUCCUCAUUGCCCCGGACCCGGGGGACGCGGGUGCCAACAUGGUGGCUCUGCUGCCUCCCCGCGGUCGAGGAUGCUGCGGUAACGUCCCCCUCAGGCCAGAGCGUGUCUCAGCUGCGCGGGGCCCUGUCAAGUGCGACCGGAACUCACCCCGCGCACAGGACCAGAAGACUCAACCCUGAGGUCGAAAGAUCCCGUCACAAGACGUGUCUGGAGUAUUAGUCGUGCUGGUGUUCAUGCACAGCUGCUGGGACCUGUCCCCAACCCACACCAGCUACUCUUCUGGAAAGCAAGACACCAGAAUGAAGGAGAUAUCUAUCCAUUCUUCCUUCUUGUCCUAAAGUAUGAUGCAUUAUUGAAUGCUUGCCUUGCUUCACUUCAGGGCAAGAAUUCAGCCCCUUUAUGUGAAGAAUGCAUCACAAAUUCAAUGAAUGAAGACCUGAAUUUUCCUGAGGAUUUGAGGUAAACUUGAGUUUAUUCACAAAAAUUAAUAACUGUGAUUGUUUCUGGUAAGUCUAAUUCUCCCCUGCCUCCCAUAUUUCUCAAGCUAUUACUAUAUAUUUUUUGCACACAACACUCACCCAUUUCUAAAAAUCAGCUCUUGAAAACUAAUGUGUACUUUAAGAGAAGUAAUAUGGUAAUAGUAUUUGUAUUUCCUGUAA